CCUCAGCGUUCUGUUUACUGCUCCAGCCUCCGAUUGCCUGUGCAGAAAUCUGAGAUUCUCUCCUGUGAAUAUUUUUAUUAAUAAAAUUUUUACACCAGUUUCAUUUUCAGCCAAUGGAGAACAUCUAUCCCUAACCAGUGUAUUGCUUUAUGGCUGUUGCACGCUCCAUGGUGCGUCUCAGUCCCCUUGUGGACCCCUUCCUGUACAUUUUCAUGAGAAAGGGAGCCAGAGACACAAUGGAGGCCUUCCCCUGCUUCAGGAGGGUGUUUGGAUGGAGCACAACUAGAUCUGAUGCAGAAACUACAUAGGUUUUCUCUGGGUUUCUUCGACCCCCCCACUGUCCAUAGAUGCCCUGACGUUAACGGGAGAUCCCAAAGUGUACCCCGUGAUGAGUUUGUGCUCUAUCCUGGGUUACUCCCUGCCUUGAGCCCACAGCUUCUGGAAUAGCUUCUUCCCCACACCCUGAAUCACCCUGCAUAUGACAAGCAGGCAUAAAAGAUGGAUGGAUAUAUUUCUUAUCUUCUAUUAUUUUGACGUUAAGACAAAGUUUCAUAUAAAUGCCCCCUUUAUAUGUGUAAAAUUGUUCCAUAAUCAUUGUAAAAUUAACAUAACUGAACAUUUAUACUGUCAUGACCUGCUCGUCGGCUCCUCGUGUGUGCCACGCCCCCCUGAUUACCCACGUGUUCUUCCCCGAUUGUAUCCAGCUGUGUCUAGUUACUUUGAUCAGUCCUGUGUAUUUCAGUCCGUGUCUUACCCGAGUCUUUUGUUUGUCAUUGAUGUUAGUCGAUGUUCGUGCCCCGUCGUCUGAAUAAAUCCCCAGUUUACCCCGUGCUUUGCCUGCCUGCUCCUUUGCCCGCUCUCCCGCCUGAGCGAUCACCUGCUUAACCAGCGCGAUCGCUACUUAAUCGUGACAUAUACUUUGUUUAGAGUAUUAGAUGAUAAACCAUGAUUCCUGCUAAAUCACUGAGAUAUAAAAAAUAUGUAGUGCUCUACAGAGAGCUGUCCGAAUGACACUGAGAAACAUUGUGUUAGCCCAGCUUAAUUUUUUCAAGCAAAUUAUGCAGGAUUUUUUGAGGUUUUUCAUUGUUUUUUUUCGUAUAAUGUCCAGCUGCGUGUUCAGAUCAUUUUGGUUUUUUGACGCAUCACACUUUCCAUUCAAUUUUUCUGUUUAUUCGUGAAAAUUCCAGUUUCAAACAUUCUAAUAUGAACAGAUGAACAAAGAGCUGCUGGCAGUGAUUUUCCAUAUAUGACAGGAAAGAUUUUUUACAAAAAUCAAACCUCUAAGGGCAUCUUUCUACUAACUGAAAAAAAAAUUGGCAAGUCACGAAAAGAGGUAAAAUGCACUUGCUGCACAUCACCAUCACUUGCUUACCACACAUCACCAAGAGAACGUUCAAAAAGCAAACCACAGACAACUUAUUGAUGUUGAGUGUAUUUUUAAUAAAUGUUAAGUAACAUACAAAUGUAGAAAAUCUCUAAAAGACUCUAUUGCUGAGUCAACUAAGUUAUAAGUACAGAUUUUAGAGUGAUCUUCACACAAAUUUUCAUUAUCUGUGUUACUAAAUGCAGCUAUAAUGAUGCUAUAAUCGCACCAAAAUGUCACGGGCAUGAAGUGGUUAAAAAAGAAACAAACAAAGGAAAAACACAGUUUAAAAGCGCUUAAGUAAUAACAGAAAAAAUGCAGCUUUACCCAGAGGAACCCACUCAGCUGCAUUGAUCACAAACUUGGGGAAAGGUAACCCAAGUCUGCUGUUAUGUGCCAUAAGAGUUCUGGAUAUGUCUACAGGACACCUCAGUCUUCUGCCCCAAGCGCCGCUCACUACUUGCUGCUUCAGCCCGCUUCCCAGUUUCUGGCCACGCCCCUUCUGCCCUCUGACCUCUGAUCCUGGCCCUGUGUUCCGGUCGAGGAUAAACCCUGCUGAACACACCCAGCUCGAGCUCUUGCUCAAGCUUUUGCUAUUGCUGUGUUGGUUUGCUGUUUCUGAUUGACUUCUUGUGUAUGACGGUUCUGAUUGUUUGGUUUCUGGUUUUCUGCUUCGCGCCUUUUUGUACCUUUGCCUUUGGUUUGUUUGUCUUCUGGUUUUGACCUCUCACUUAGCUCCUGACUGCUCUCUUUGCCUCGCCCCUUCGGAUACCUUGUUUCGGCCUUUGUGUUUCCUGUAUGUUCAUGUCUGUUAGGUGUGUAAGGAGUGACUGCCUCUUUGUUUAUGUGUGGUUUACUGUGGUUUUGGGUAGGGAGUUUGGUUUAGUCUUUGUCAUUUCGUUUUCUCUUGUUUUCAUUACCUUUAGAGUUAGCUUAGUUUGGGACGUGUUCCUUAGCCAUUUUGGUUGUUGUUUUGGCCUGGGUCACUCUCGAAGUCUGUUGCGUCUUGUGUUUGUAAAAGUGUCUGUGAAUAAAUAUAAAACAAUACAAAAAAAAUCCCUUAGUUUCCCGUGUUCCCUUUUCCCAUCCCCUGGUUGUCUCAUUUUCCCCUCUCCUUUCCCUUUACCUUUCUGUCGGUCCUCAACCCUAGACUGGCGAUCGUAACACUGCAAACAGCAGUAUAGUGUGUGCUUUUCAGUCUUGAAAGUUGGUCUUCAAGCUCUGAGCUUUAUGGGAGAAUUCGCCCCCCCUCCAAUUCAAUUAUGAUUUUUUUUUGUAGCACAGCAAAUGUGUAUCAGAACUUUCUAGGAAAAUGAAAGUUUAGGGCAUGAGUGAGUCCAAAUAUCAUUGCCACUGCAGAAGGCACAUUCUCCAGGUUCUGCAACAUGAUCAGUCCUUCAAUAAUGAAUCCCACGUCAUCUGGCUCAGUCUCUGCAGUGUCCGUCAUGGCGCUCCCUGUACCAUUGUCAUUCAUGCCAUAGUGUUUUAUUAGAACAAGAAGUCCUACUUCAAAGUUUGUAAGGUCCCAGAAGAAGAUCAAGUGGAGCUGGUGAAACAAACACUUGAAGGGCGAGGCGGAACUAACCGUAAGGCUUAUGCUGCAAGAUAGCACUACAGACAUCGAGGAGGUCUUUAAAAUUCUUGACAAAGUGUAUUGUGAUAAAACCCCUGUAGGAAUAAUAUGAACCCUCUGAGGUUAAUCUUAUCAAAUAAGGGUAGGGAACACACUUUCACUGACUGGGGCAUGGUCACACAUUUCAUUCAAUAUCAUAAACUUCCCAUUCGCGGCUGUCAGCUUGACCCAUUUAGAAGGUGAUAGCUUUGAUUAUCAUCAGCGCCAUUAAAGGACAUAUUUGCAAAGUAAACUAAGAUUAAGAUGACUUCAUUAAGAUGAAUGCCAAAACAAAUAUAUAAGAAAUUAU